rnacentral:lncRNA from 1 species
AUGACCACCACCGACAAUGCAAUGGUCACCCAGAUGGCGGAGGACACUGUCCAAGAUGUUCUGGCGAGGGCGGAAUGUCUGGGAGCCUCCRUCUGCAUUAUAAAGAAGGCUCCUCCAGAGCACAGGGAGAAACUGUCCUGCAGGGCUUUUACAAGAGCACGGUCCCCUCAGGAAUUCCAGGCAGAGCCUCUGAGAAACAGGGGGCUAGUUGCAGAAGAGAUUCCAUCUCUUGGUUUGGCAGUGGGAGAACAAAAGCCCUCUCAUCUUGCUUCAACUUCCCUUCAACUAUCCAGGAGGGAUGUUUGUGCCCUGACCAGAGGAAAUGAAGAACGUAUAUGCUCCAUGCGUGCAGUCAGGCCUCGGUCUUCCAGACAAGCGCUGGGAAAACCAUGGCUGUUGCAAGGACCCAUAAAGAGGAGAACUCUUCUCCCAAUUAACCAGCAGCUUUCCAGGCAAUCCUGCUCCUCCCCGGGAGCCCAGAGGGUGCCUAAAGGGGAGAACCAAGGCGGGCCAGCAUACGAGGAGCAGGGCAAACCCUGGGCAACCUGCCCAACACUGCCAAGGCUGCCACAGGUGCCAGCUGGGGUUGAUUUGGAUGAGCUUUUUGAGGAAACAUGCAAUGAGCUAAGGAGCAGGUUGCUGCCAGCUUCCAAAGACACCUGUGCCCAGCGGGCCAAGGCACAACCCUUGGACACAGCAGCACACGGCAAUGACUCUCUGCUAAGUGACUUCUCAGCAUGCCAAAGAAGAGAACAGCAGCCUCCUGAACAGCAAGUGUCCCCCGCUGAGAAAGUCAGAGGCAGCAUCAUGACGGAGCUUUGUCAAAGGCAAGGUCCAGCUCCCCUCUGUGAGGAGUGCUUGGGUGCAGACAGCAAUGGUCUUCCUCAGAGCAUGGUGCAGUCGGUGUGUGCACAGCUGCUGGCGCAGUUUGGGUCGCAGCUGACAGAGCAGCUGUGCUUGCAAAGCGUGUGCAGAGCUCUGUGCGAGGCUGCAGCCAGGCUGGUGCUGAGGGGGAUCUCUGGGGCCUGGCUCCAGACCUGCACCCCUGCAGAAGCAUCAGCCCAGCCUCCUGGUGCAGAUGACAGCAUGGUGGAGGAAGCGCGCCGGGACCUUGCAGAGCCCUGCGGCCACUCCAAGCCUUCACUGCCCGACACCAGCAACCUCUCCCUCUCCUCCCUGCUCAUCAAAACACUUUCAGAGAAACUCGUGUCCCUUUUUCCCACCAGCGACUUCAAUGCUGAGAAURUUUCCUUGGUGAGGGACAUAAUAGGAAAACUAUUGCCAACACUGGAAGGGAGGAGAGCAGACAACAGUGAAAUGGGCCAACGCCAGUCCACAACGCCUUCUCCCAGGGAGUCUGCAGGCCUUCCUCAAGGCAUCCUCCAAGACCUGGGCAUGGCAGGGAGGCUGAGAGCCGGGGACCUGUCCCGCACGGCCCCGCACCACCUGCCGAAGCCCUGCAGGACUCAGUCUGGCAGCUGCUGGUGGCAGCCUGGAGCCGUGCUGGAGGUGCAAGUCCAGGACCCGGUGGGCAGCCGUCACAGCCAGACACAGGUGAAGGUGCAUUGGAGCUCAGCACGGCUGUGGUGCAGGGGCUGUCGGCACACACAGACAGCCCAGACGCGUCAGCAAGCAGAGGCCAGGACCAGACCACAGAGCCUGACAAAACCACGCGCCCUGUGGCUGACACCACGGAUGGGGACGUCUUGCUGCAGAGCAGAUCCCACCAAGACACUGGCAGGGAUGAAACGUGCUUCGAGAGACACGUGCCCGAGGCAGCAGCACUCGCUGAGGAGCUCUCCAGGUGCCAGCGAGCAGGGCCUGCUAGCGACCACCCCACAGCAGUGCCCACCACCCCCAGGGGCCCCAGCGCUGCCGGCGGGGCCGUUGCCCCAGCUGCCCCAGGCGUGGGGGCCGGGCUGGGGAUCUGGGCAGGGAAGAGCUCACGACAGCCGGGUUUGA